GACGAACGCUGGCGGCGUGCCUAAUACAUGCCAGUUGAGCGCUGAAGGUUGGUACUUGUACCAACUGGAUGAGCAGCGAACGGGUGAGUAACGCGUGGGGAAUCUGCCUUUGAGUGGGGGACAACAUUUGGAAACGAAUGCUAAUACCGCAUAAAAACUUUAAACACAAGUUUUAAGUUUGAAAGAUGCAAUUGCAUCACUCAAAGAUGAUCCCGCGUUGUAUUAGCUAGUUGGUGUGGUAAAGGCUCACCAAGGCGAUGAUACAUAGCCGACCUGAGAGGGCGAUCGGCCACAUUGGGACUGAGACACGGCCCAAACUCCUACGGGAGGCAGCAGUAGGGAAUCUUCGGCAAUGGACGAAAGUCUGACCGAGCAACGCCGCGUGAGUGAAGAAGGUUUUCGGAUCGUAAAACUCUGUUGGUAGAGAAGAACGUUGGUGAGAGUGGAAAGCUCAUCAAGUGACGGUAACUACCCAGAAAGGGACGGCUAACUACGUG
rnacentral:rRNA from 1 species